rnacentral:misc_RNA from 1 species
AACGCACAUUGCGCCCUUUGGUAUUCCGAAGGGCAUGCCUGUUAGAGCGUCAUUAUCACCCCUCAAGCCCUGUGCUUGGUGUUGGACGGCUUCGGUCGAGUAACGUCGACCCCUCCUAAAGACAAUGACGGCGGCCUGUGGAACCCCCGGUACACUGAGCUUUUAACCGAGCACGUAUUGGAUGAGGGUGCCCAGGACACGGUCUUUCUUCCCUUGAGUGGGAAAAUUUUCAAGGUUGACCUCGGAUCAGGUAGGAAUACGCGCUGAACUUAA